rnacentral:antisense_RNA from 1 species
UUUGAUCGACCCCAACCACAGGGGUUCACUACCACGCUGCCCAUAGGUGGCCACAAUCGCCUGCGCCUC